CGUGAAAAGUUUUCUCCUGAUCAGCCACGUUGAGGGAAAUUUGAUGAUGAAAUCCCGCAGUUUGGAGCAGGCUUAGAGACAUGCUGGAAAAUGCAAAGGCGAACCACCGGCCACACUAAUCUCCAAGCAGAUCCAACGGUAGCAUAAGAUAGUAUCAAAAGUUGGCAGAGGAGUGAAGCCGGCCUAACAGUGUGUAUGGUAUCAAAAGUUGGCAGAGAAGUGAAGCCGGAGGUCCGUUUUACUCCAUUUGCUGGCUAUACUACUUGGCCAGCUUUGAUACUACCUUAUGGCACCGUAGGAUCUGCUUGGAGAUUACAGUCACACCAUUUUUGGGAGGAGAGACAUAAAUGUGACAUGUAGCUAGAUGUGACGAGUGUGCGAGUCCUGUUGUUUUUCUCAGAUCUAUCUAGUACAUACCCUUGCUCUCACUCUCGGGUCUGUUUUGUCUUCCUACAGGUACUCUGAGGCCAGCACUGGGACAGACAUGGUUGCCAUGGUGACCAGAUCAUGCCCUGGUUUGCCCAUCCAACCCCACCUAGGCUAGUCUCAGACAAUGGGACUUCACAAUUGGCUGACUGACAGGUACAUGUACCACUCCUACCAGUCUAUCGACAUUACACAUUCUGAUUCUUGUCAUGAAAACCAAGGACAUUUUUAAAUAACAGCAUGUUUUUGUAGUGAACUUAAGUUAAAGGUUCAUUUGUAUGUGCUAUACUGGCAUCAUGUUCAACUUAUCAAAACAUUUUAAUCUCAUGUAAGCAUUUGUCUGAAAGAUAUUACACAUAACACAUGUGUUGUGGCAAAAUAUAGACUUGUCUGUUGUAUAGAUACUGUAUCAGUAUGUUCUGGAAGACAUGAGCUUGCCUCGCUGACUUAGAAGCACACGUUUUCUUCUUUUUUAAGGGGCUUAUGGAGGCAGUAAGUAUGCUGAUCACACUGGUAUCUGUUCAACAGAAUUCCUUGUCACUGUUACUUAUUUUCAUGAAUUUGAUCGCCAACAGUUUGUUUUGAAAAUUCCACAAGAGUAAAAUAGGGCUAGGAGAAGCUAGAAUCUGACUGUAUGCACUCCCUGAAACUGUGUACUAAAGCUACAAACUUCAUGUUGAUACUAUGUAAUGUCUGUGUUAAUACUAAAGGGUAUUUUAUAUCUGACAACCAGUAGCUAAAAUACUGUAGUCUAAAACUGAAUUGUUACUGUAUUUAAUUGAUUACUGUAUCAAGUGGUGACAUGAAGGACUACAUAAAUAAAACGACUCUUCUGUAUACUUCA